rnacentral:lncRNA from 1 species
UAAAGCAAUAUACAAUUCUUAAAACGAGUGGUUAUUUAGCAAAUUACGUUAACCCCUUUAGCAACCAACAGAAGAAAACAAAAACGUUAUAUUAAAAAAAACAAAGAAAUCGAUCAUUGAUCGAUUCAUUAGUCGAGAAGCAGAUCGAACUUGUGGGCUUUAUGCACACACGUACAAUGACUUUAUUCUAUAUGUAUUAAUAUUUGUACCUCUACUUUGC